UACAGAGGUCCCGAGCGUUGUUCGGAUUCACUGGGCGUAAAGGGUGCGUAGGUGGUCGGGUAAGUCUGAGGUGAAAUCUCCGAGCCCAACUCGGAAACUGCCUUGGAUACUAUUCGGCUAGAGGGUUGGAGGGGGGACUGGAAUUCUCGGUGUAGCAGUGAAAUGCGUAGAUAUCGAGAGGAACACCAGUGGCGAAGGCGAGACUCUGGACAGUUCCUGACGCUGAGGCACGAAGGCCAGGGGAGCAAACAGG
rnacentral:rRNA from 1 species